CAAGUACUCCCUCAGUCCGGAAUUACUUGUCAUCAAAAUGGAUGUGUCUAGAACUAAAAUACAUCUAGAUACAUCCAUUUCAAUGACAAGUAUUUUCGGACGGAGGGAGUACAAG
rnacentral:pre_miRNA from 1 species